rnacentral:antisense_RNA from 1 species
CUUGAUGGAGCCCAGCCACAGCGGCCGGUCGUCGGUGCGUUGCCCGCCGUACGUGGCCAGGAGGGCCUGGGCCUC